rnacentral:rRNA from 1 species
CGCGGCCUAUCAGCUUGUUGGAGGGGUAACGGCCCACCAAGGCAUCGACGGGUAGCUGGUCUGAGAGGAUGAUCAGCCACACUGGGACUGAGACACGGCCCAGACUCCUACGGGAGGCAGCAGUGGGGAAUCUUGCACAAUGGGCGCAAGCCUGAUGCAGCGAUGCCGCGUGCGGGAAGAAGGCCCUAGGGUUGUAAACCGCUUUCAGGAGGGAAGAAAAUGACGGUACCUCCAGAAGAAGGUGCGGCCAACUACGUGCCAGCAGCCGCGGUGACACGUAGGCACCAAGCGUUAUCCGGAUUUAUUGGGCGUAAAGAGCUCGUAGGCGGUUUGGUAAGUCGGGUGUGAAAACUCUGGGCUCAACCCAGAGACGCCACCCGAUACUGCUGUGACUAGAGUGCGGUAGGGGAGCGGGGAAUUCCUGGUGUAGCGGUGAAAUGCGCAGAUAUCAGGAGGAACACCAGCGGCGAAGGCGCCGCUCUGGGCCGUAACUGACGCUGAGGAGCGAAAGCAUGGGUAGCAAACAGGAUUAGAUACCCUGGUAGUCCAUGCCGUAAACGUUGGGCACUAGGUGUGGGUCUCAACCAACGAGAUCCGCGCCGUCGCUAACGCAUUAAGUGCCCCGCCUGGGGAGUACGG